rnacentral:rRNA from 1 species
GGCAUGCUUUACACAUGCAAGUCGAACGGUAACAGGGAGCUUGCUCCGCUGACGAGUGGCGAACGGGUGAGUAAUAUAUCGGAACGUACCCAAGAGUGGGGGAUAACGUAGCGAAAGUUACGCUAAUACCGCAUACGAUCCAAGGAUGAAAGCAGGGGACCGCAAGGCCUUGUGCUCCUGGAGCGGCCGAUAUCUGAUUAGCUAGUUGGUAGGGUAAAGGCCUACCAAGGCAUCGAUCAGUAGCUGGUCUGAGAGGACGACCAGCCACACUGGAACUGAGACACGGUCCAGACUCCUACGGGAGGCAGCAGUGGGGAAUUUUGGACAAUGGGCGCAAGCCUGAUCCAGCAAUGCCGCGUGAGUGAAGAAGGCCUUCGGGUUGUAAAGCUCUUUUGUCAGGGAAGAAACGGGUGUGGCUAAUAUCUGCAUCUAAUGACGGUACCUGAAGAAUAAGCACCGGCUAACUACGUGCCAGCAGCCGCGGUAAUACGUAGGGUGCAAGCGUUAAUCGGAAUUACUGGGCGUAAAGCGUGCGCAGGCGGUUUUGUAAGUCUGUUGUGAAAUCCCCGGGCUUAACCUGGGAAUGGCAAUGGAGACUGCAAGGCUAGAGUUUGGCAGAGGGGGGUAGAAUUCCACGUGUAGCAGUGAAAUGCGUAGAGAUGUGGAGGAACACCGAUGGCGAAGGCAGCCCCCUGGGUCAAGACUGACGCUCAUGCACGAAAGCGUGGGGAGCAAACAGGAUUAGAUACCCUGGUAGUCCACGCCCUAAACGAUGUCUACUAGUUGUCGGGUCUUAAUUGACUUGGUAACGCAGCUAACGCGUGAAGUAGACCGCCUGGGGAGUACGGUCGCAAGAUUAAAACUCAAAGGAAUUGACGGGGACCCGCACAAGCGGUGGAUGAUGUGGAUUAACUCGAUGCAACGCGAAAAACCUUACCUACCCUUGACAUGGCAGGAAUC